rnacentral:rRNA from 1 species
UACGGGGGGGGGCAAGCGUUGUUCGGAAUUACUGGGCGUAAAGGGCUCGUAGGCGGCCAACUAAGUCGGAUGUGAAAUCCCCAGGCUUAACCUGGGAACUGCAUCCGAUACUGGAUGGCUUGAAUCCGGGAGAGGGAUGCAGAAUUCCAGGUGUAGCGGUGAAAUGCGUAGAUAUCUGGAGGAAUACCGGUGGCGAAGGCGGCAUCCUGGACCGGCAUUGACGCUGAUGAGCGAAAGCGUGGGGAGCGAACAGG